GUCCCUCGCGGCUUUCGCCAGCACCACGUCUAUGAAGUCUGUCUCCACUCGUCUUCCGGAAGCCAAGGGGACAGAGCCGGACGCCGGAAAUGAGUGAGACUUGCAGCUGCCACCACCGCCGUUAUAAAGCCCAAAAGCCGCCGCGCCGCCGGUGCCGCCCGGAUCGCCCGGCCUUUUUUCUCCUGCAGACUCGGCUCCGCCCGUCCAGGUGCAGGUUACCAAGUGCCGGGCGCCGAGCAGCGACGGGGACACAGGGCCCGAGAGUGCCAGGCAGAGUGUGAAGCCGAUACUGCCACGCUGGGGAGGCGCUGGUCUCAAGCUGUCGCCAGCUCACAGCAACCUCAAACUCUUGGACUUAAGCAAUCCUCUUGCCUCAGCCUCCCAGGUAGCUGGGACUACAGGUGCUUGCCACAGCACCUGGCUAUUUCUUGGUUGUAGUCAUUGUUGUUUGACAAGCCCAGGCUGGAUUCGAACCUGCCAGCUCCUGUGUAUGUGGCUGGUACCCUAGCCACUUGAGCUACAGACUCUCUCCUUUCCUGGCUUUGAUGAAGAAAGCUGCCACACUAGGAAGGCGCACAUGAUGAGGAACUGAGGGACAUCUCUAGACAAUUCCAGCCAACAUCCAGCAAGGAACUGAUGGCUUCAGUUCAACAAGCAUUGAAGAACUGAUGGCAUCAACAGCUACGUAAGUGAGCAUAGAAG